AUUGAACGCUGGCGGCAUGCUUUACACAUGCAAGUCGAACGGUAACAGGCCUUCGGGUGCUGACGAGUGGCGAACGGGUGAGUAAUGCAUCGGAACGUACCCAGAGGUGGGGGAUAACGCAGCGAAAGCUGUGCUAAUACCGCAUGUGAUCUGAGGAUGAAAGCGGGGGACCGAGCAGCAAUGUUUGGCCUCGCGCCUUUGGAGCGGCCGAUGUCGGAUUAGCUAGUUGGUGGGGUAAAGGCCUACCAAGGCGACGAUCCGUAGCUGGUCUGAGAGGACGACCAGCCACACUGGGACUGAGACACGGCCCAGACUCCUACGGGAGGUAGCAGUGGGGAAUUUUGGACAAUGGGCGCAAGCCUGAUCCAGCAAUGCCGCGUGCGGGAAGAAGGCCUUCGGGUUGUAAACCGCUUUUGGCAGGAACGAAACGGUGUCCGCUAAUACCGGGCGCUAAUGACGGUACCUGCAGAAUAAGCACCGGCUAACUACGU
rnacentral:rRNA from 1 species